rnacentral:tRNA from 1 species
GGUCUGGUGGUCUAGUGGUAUGAUUCUCGCUUAGGGUUCACCCUAAAGCAAAUAUGCGAGAGGUCCCGGGUUCAAUCCCCGGCCAGACCC